AUUGAACGCUGGCGGCAUGCCUUACACAUGCAAGUCGAACGGCAGCAUAGGAGCUUGCUCCUGAUGGCGAGUGGCGAACGGGUGAGUAAUAUAUCGGAACGUGCCCUAGAGUGGGGGAUAACUAGUCGAAAGACUAGCUAAUACCGCAUACGAUCUACGGAUGAAAGUGGGGGAUCGCAAGACCUCAUGCCCCUGGAGCGGCCGAUAUCUGAUUAGCUAGUUGGUGGGGUAAAAGCUCACCAAGGCGACGAUCAGUAGCUGGUCUGAGAGGACGACCAGCCACACUGGGACUGAGACACGGCCCAGACUCCUACGGGAGGCAGCAGUGGGGAAUUUUGGACAAUGGGGGCAACCCUGAUCCAGCAAUGCCGCGUGAGUGAAGAAGGCCUUCGGGUUGUAAAGCUCUUUUGUCAGGGAAGAAACGGUUCUGGAUAAUACCUGGGACUAAUGACGGUACCUGAAGAAUAAGCACCGGCUAACUACGUGCCAGCAGCCGCCGUAA
rnacentral:rRNA from 1 species